rnacentral:tRNA from 1 species
GGGGCGUCUCGCAAGCCGGCGGCCGGCGCUGACAUCGCACUCAGGUCAGGGGUUCGAUUCCCCUCAGCUCCACCA